UUUUUAUCACAUCAUUUCAUUUAUAAAUCAUGAACAAACAUAGAUAAUCAUAUAUCAUAACAUAAAUUUCAUGAUUAACAUAUUCUCAAAUCCCAUAACUAACCCAAAAUGAAAAGAGAUGAGAAGAGUUUGAGCUAGAGAAAAAUACUUCUCUCCUCUCCAUUAAUUCAUCUCAAAGAUUAUAAAAUCAAACCCUCAUACCUUGAUUGAAGGCAAUCAUAGCUCAUCUUCUUCCUCUCUAGCUUCUAUCUUGGCUUAGUCUCCUUUUCUCUUUCUUUCUCUCGUGUUCUUUUCUCUAACUUAUGGCUACCUCUUCAAAAAAUUUCUUGAUAAAAUGGUUUCUAUCUUUGAGUUAUCUUAAUAAGUAGGGUUUACUAUCUUUUUCCAAUUAACACCCCCUCAUUCUACUCAUCUCACCACUUACUCUCUCUCUCU
rnacentral:lncRNA from 1 species